rnacentral:rRNA from 1 species
AACGAACGCUGGCGGCAUGCCUAACACAUACAAGUCGAACGAGACCUUCGGGUCUAGUGGCGCACGGGUGCGUAACGCGUGGGAACCUGCCCUUAGGUUCGGAAUAACUCCCCGAAAGGGGUGCUAAUACCGGAUAAUGUCUUCGGACCAAAGAUUUAUCGCCUUUGGAUGGGCCCGCGUUGGAUUAGCUAGUUGGUAGGGUAAAAGCCUACCAAGGCAACGAUCCAUAGCUGGUCUGAGAGGAUGAUCAGCCACACUGGGACUGAGACACGGCCCAGACUCCUACGGGAGGCAGCAGUGGGGAAUAUUGGACAAUGGGCGAAAGCCUGAUCCAGCAAUGCCGCGUGAGUGAUGAAGGCCUUAGGGUUGUAAAGCUCUUUUACCCGGGAUGAUAAUGACAGUACCGGGAGAAUAAGCUCCGGCUAACUCCGUG